CUUGUGCAGAGAGAUCACGCAUCUCACGGCUUGACGAUCAAGGGGGCAAAGCCUCGGUCUUCAUAGAAAAGGAGAGGAGGCAAACGCAGCCCAAACUGGGGGGUUUCUCUUCAAAGCCAGCUGGUCUGGCUUUAUUCUACAGGAAUUUUUUUACCUGUCAGGGUUUGGACAACAAAGCCCUCAGCAGGUGCUGACGGGUACAACUUCCUGGAGAAGCAGAAAGGCACUGAGAAAACAUCUUGCUCUGUUGCUCAGGCUGGAGCGCAAUGGUGCCAUCGUAGCUUACUGUAACCUUGAACGUCUGUGCUCAAGCAAUCUUCCUGCCUCAGCCUCCUGAGUAGCUGGGACUACAGAGGUGCUGGUUACGUGGGAAUUUGAUUUGUCAAAACUGAUUGAAUGACACAGAAAUGUGGUGGCAGAUGUCUGUAAUCCCAGCUACUUGGGAGGCUGAAGCAGGGGAAUCACUUGAAUCUGGGAGGUGGAGGUUGCUGUGAGCCAAGAUCACACCACUGCACUCCAGCCUGGCAACAGAGCAAG
rnacentral:lncRNA from 1 species